rnacentral:pre_miRNA from 1 species
ACAUCAAUUACCUGGGGAUCUUGUUAAAAUGUAAAUUUUUAUUCAAUAAAUGUAGGGAGGGGUUUGAGUUUCUGAGUUUCUAAUAUGUUCCCAGGUGUUGCUGAU